AACGAACGCUGGCGGCAUGCCUAACACAUGCAAGUCGAACGAGAUCUUCGGGUCUAGUGGCGCACGGGUGCGUAACGCGUGGGAAUCUGCCCUUUGGUUCGGAAUAACAGUUGGAAACGACUGCUAAUACCGGAUGAUGACGAAAGUCCAAAGAUUUAUCGCCAGAGGAUGAGCCCGCGUAGGAUUAGCUGGUUGGGGUGGUAAAAGCGCACCAAGGCGCCGGUCCUUAGCUGGUCUGAGAGGAUGAUCAGCCACACUGGGACUGGGACACGGCCCAGACUCCUACGGGAGGCAGCAGUGGGGAAUAUUGGACAAUGGGCGAAAGCCUGAUCCAGCAAUGCCGCGUGAGUGAUGAAGGCCUUAGGGUUGUAAAGCUCUUUUACCCGGGAUGAUAAUGACAGUACCGGGAGAAUAAGCUCCGGCUAACUCCGUGCCAGCAGCCGCCGCCG
rnacentral:rRNA from 1 species